UAACUACUCUCAGAGAAGAAAUUAAAAAAUUUAAAACCAAAUUCAUCAUCUCCUUCGUCAAAUCGAUUAUCAUCGUAAAAAAAAAAGGGAAAGAGAAACCUAGAAAAAAUACGAAUUGUUCUUCUGAUUUAGAAGAAUAAGAGACAUCGAAGAAAGUACUGCAUGCAAAAAAAAGGAGCAUCAAAAUCUGGAGAAUCAAAACCUAACAACAACAAACGUAUAAGAAUGGACCAAGAAAUUGAAUCCGAUGAAGAACAAACUGAUUUGUCUGAAUCAAAUGAAGCACAAAUUGAAUCAUAUGAAAGAGGAGCCGUUAAUAUGAAGAAAUUUGGUAAACGUAGCAAGAAACAUAUUGAUUCUGAUGACGAAGAAGAAGCAUAUGAAACAAGCUCAAAAAGUAGAAGUCUAAGAAAAGUACUGGCAAAAAAAAAUUAAGAAAUCGAUUUGGUUGCUGGAUCAUCUAAGAAAGGUAUUUCCUGGCAGGCGAUAUAAACAAAAAGCAAUCUUUCUUAUAUGCAACUGAGCAGGCUUCGCUCGACUCUCUGACUGGAGCCAUUAACAUGAAGAAAUCUGGUAAGCGUAAUAACAAACAAAUUGAAUCUGAUAAGGAAGAAGGUACUAAAUGUUAGGUGCUUUAAUUAAUGUUAGGUGCUCUAUCAGUUGUUACUUCAUUAGAGUGACACGUUAAAAAGUCGUAUUUUGUUUCUGUACAAGCAUAUGAAGCAAGUCUGAAAAAUAAGAAGUUUAAGAAAGGUGGUGUUGGACCAAACACUUAAUUCCCACUAAGAUAAAUAUCCCAAUUGUUGAGAUGAAUCAAACUCAUAAUAGAUCAAUUUAUAAUCAGGUCAUGAAGAAAUUUCUGGCAUUAAAUUUGAACCUUGUACCAUCUCAUAGAUCAUUGGUUUGUUUCUUUGUUGUAUUUGUGUUUUGAUAUAUGUAAAUAGAGAAACUAGUGUGGAUAUAUCCUACACAAAAAUGGGUGUUUGUGGAUAUAAACAUCAAAAGUGUGUAUAUAUCCUACACAAUGGUGUUUGUGGGUAUAUCCUACACAAAAAUGAAAACCUAUGAAGAAGGUGUUAAAUAUUUCUAGCCUGCUGAGGUAAACAGAUAGUAAUUGUUAAAUUUCUCUCUGCUAUUUCUUAUGUACCCUUGAAAUUUGGGUUUUUAGGUGUUUCGUUAUUAAUAUCACUGAAUUUCUUUUGUUGGUUUAUGUUUUGGUUGAAUUAAGUGAAAGUGUUGGACAAAAUCGAGCCUCAUUGGAUGGAAGGUGGUAUAUGCAAGGUUGGAGAUGAUCUACAUCUUUGGCCUGGUGUUAUACUUUCUCCGCACAAGGAGAUUAUAGAGUUGUCGCUGAGUUUGAAAGCGUUAAACAAAAUCAAGCCUCAUUGGAUGGAAGGUGGUAUAUGCAUAGGUUGGAGAUGAUCUACAUCCUUGGCCUGGUGUUAUACUUUCUCCACACAAGCAGACUAUAGAGUUGUCGCUGAGUUGUAAGUAUAAUUUUACAUGUAUAAGUUUUUUGUCCAACACAAAGAUACCAUGCAAACAGCAUUGAAACACGCAGUUUCAUUACCAAUAUCAAAUAUGACCUCUAGUGUGAAGAAGAUCAUGAUAUCCUUGUGCCAUGAAGAGGGAAACAAUAGCUUUCAAGUUACUCACUGCAACCACCCCUGCAGAAAGUUGAAAAGAAGAAAAUUGCAUGGAAUAACUGCAACAACAUCUUUCAAGUUACUCACUUAUUUUCAGAUUGUUACUAUAUAUAUCUUAA